CAGUCGCCGCGGGAAUACGAAGGGGGCUAGCGUUGUUCGGAAUUACUGGGCGUAAAGCGCACGUAGGCGGAUAUUUAAGUCAGGGGUGAAAUCCCAGAGCUCAACUCUGGAACUGCCUUUGAUACUGGGUAUCUUGAGUAUGGAAGAGGUGAGUAGAAUUCCGAGUGUAGAGGUGAAAUUCGUAGAUAUUCGGAGGAACACCAGUGGCGAAGGCGGCUCACUGGUCCAUUACUGACGCUGAGGUGCGAAAGCGUGGGGAGCAAACAGGAUUAGAUACCCCCGUAGUCCCUGUCUCUUAUAC
rnacentral:rRNA from 1 species